CCACUGCUCCACACACCGCCCUUCUGUGGACCCCACGGCGCUUGUCCUUUUCUAUGUUUUGCAUUUGCCUGAAUCCACGCUGGAGCGGGUGUCAGAAUUUCCUCCUUUCAAGACUGAAUAAUGUUUCGCUGUUUGCAGAGAACACAUUUUUCAUCCAUUCGUCCACCAGCAGACCUUUGGCUGCCGUGGAUAACAGGUCGGUGAACGUGCGGGUGCGGCUCCCCCUGGUAGAGCCUCUGCUUUCAGUUCUCCAAGUCUACACCCGAGAGUGGAACUGCUGCAGCACACGUUUCCUAUGAAAAUCCAACGUGAACUCUUUGCUUGUCUGAGGAGUUGCAGACAUCAAAGUCUUUCUGGGGGACCGUGUGGUGUUCCGUGUGUAUGUGACGGCGAGCAGUCAGCUCAGGGGACCAGCACUCCCUUCACCUCAGAUGCCGAAAAGGAGACCCGGAAGCUGGCUGUGCCUGUCAUCCCAGCCCCGAGGGAGGCUGAGGCAGGAGGACAUAAGUGCAAGCCCCUGCUGGGUCACUUAGGGAGACUGUAAAUAAACAAAUAAUAAAUAAAUGAAU